rnacentral:rRNA from 1 species
UACGUAGGGUGCGAGCGUUAAUCGGAAUUACUGGGCGUAAAGCGUGCGCAGGCGGUUUUGUAAGCCAGAUGUGAAAGCCCCGGGCUCAACCUGGGAAUGGCAUUUGGGACUGCAAGGCUAGAGUGCGGCAGAGGAGACUGGAAUUCCGUGGUGAGCAGUGAAAUGCGUAGAUAUCAGGAGGAAUACCGAUGGCGAAGGCAGGUCUCUGGGCUGACACUGACGCUCAUGCACGAAAGCGUGGGGAGCAAACAGGG